rnacentral:snoRNA from 1 species
GUGAAAUGAUGAUGAAGUUUAUCCAUUCUCUGAGUGCUGCUGCACUGCCCUCCCUGCAGCACCUAGAUGCCUGUUCUAGGGUCUCUGUGCCGUGCAGCCUCCAAAUACCCUCCAGUCUUUCAGUGUUCUACUGGGGGCUGCUGGAAGGUCUGGCGGGCUGCCUGCAGGAGCGGGACAGAGCCAGCAGGGCUGGAGCCCCUUUCCAUGGGGGCUCCAUCUCAACCAAGACGAGUGAUGCUCUCUGAUCAC